rnacentral:rRNA from 1 species
AAGUCGUAACAAGGUUCCCUUCUGCAGCGCAGCUCCGGAGACCUUGCACACCCCGAACGGGAGGCAGCACGACGAUAAACAAAGCUCGCCGCGUGCAAGUUGGCCGCACGGUCAGCAACACGAUCGAAUUGACGGGGACCUCCUAAAGCCUGCAACACCAACCGUCCGGGGAAACUCGGGCGGGGCCCUCACGGGGUGGUAAGAGAGUGCAGGAUGAACAAUGGACGAUCCGCAGCGAAGACCCUACCGGCGAGAGCCCACGGGUACCGUUCACAGACUAAGUGAUUGUGGGCGGGGCGUCAGGCCCCGUCUAAGAUAUAGUCGGUCUUUGUUCGAAAGGGCAGAGCCUAGCGCGUCCGUAGGUGAACCUGCGGAAGGAUCAUUAAAGAAUCGCCCCGUUUUUUGAAACGGGUUCUAUUCCCAAACCGUGUAUACAUACCUUUGUUGCUUUGGCAGGCCGCCUUUUAGGCGUCGGCUUCGGCUGACUGCGCCUGCCAGAGGACCCAAACUCGUUUGUUUAAUGAUGUCUGAGUACUAUAUAAUAGUUAAAACUUUCAACAACGGAUCUCUUGGUUCUGGCAUCGAUGAAGAACGCAGCGAAAUGCGAUAAGUAAUGUGAAUUGCAGAAUUCAGUGAAUCAUCGAAUCUUUGGACGCACAUUGCGCCCCUUGGUAUUCCGAGGGGCAUGCCUGUUCGAGCGUCAUUAUAACCACUCAAGCCUCGGCUUGGUCUUGGGGUUCGCGGUCUCGCGUCCCUUAAAAUCAGUGGCGGUGCCGUCUGGCUCUAAGCGUAGUAAUUCUCUCGCUAUAGGGUCCCGGCGGUUGCCUGCCAGAACCCCCCAUUUUUUACGGUUGACCUCGGAUCAGGUAGGGAUACCCGCUGAACUUAA